AACAGUGAUAAAGCAACUUUUAAGCAUGGUGUCUGUUAAAUCUUCCAGUAAUACAGUUCAGCCACUGGGUCCUCACCAGGGUCCUCAGUUCCAUCCUAGGCUUGGGUUACUGUGUGUGGAGCUUCACAUGCUCUCCCCUUCUCCAUGUGGAAUUCCUCCCACCACCCAAAAACAUUCCAGUAAGUGGAUUAGCUAAGCAGAGUCAGCGUCCUGAUGUGAGGAAACCAAAUGACCACAGCUUUUUAAAUGGAAGGGAGUGGGACGCCUGUCUUCCCAGAUGGCAGAGAGAUUUGUAAGAAGAUGCAUCAACUGAAUUUCAAGCAAUUGUUUGUUUAUUUUGUGAGCAUUUAGUAUUUAGCAUUUUAGCAUACAAACAAAUUGCAUUUUAGGACAAUUGUAGGAA
ensembl:lncRNA